AAACCACCCCAAAGGUCCCAUCAACUCUGCCAAACCUCUCUGCUUCCCAACUGCAGCUUUACCAGAAGAGAUAAAAAGGAGAAACUGCUUUUACUGUUUGGAAACAAUCGUGGAGCUCAUGUUCGGGAAAAAGUGAACACAAUGAAGAAACUGAAACUCAGAAAAAUUUAUGUCCUACCGCAGGCCACAUAGCUAGUAAGUCCCAGAGCCCCGAUGGAAACGUGAGUCUGCCUGGCACUAGAGCUCAUGCUCCUUCAGCAACAACAUGGUACAGAAUGAAAUAAUGUGGGAGAGGCUGGGCACGGUGGCUCACUCCUAUAAUCCCAGCACUUUGGGAGGCCGAGGCAGGUAGAUCAUGUGAGGUCAGGAGUUCAGACCAGCCUGGCCAACAUGAUGAAACCCCCCACUCUACUAAAAAUACAAAAAUUACCCAGGCGUGAUGGCACAUGCCUAUAUUCCCAGCUACUCAGGAGGCUGAGGCAGGAGAAUCACUUGAACCUGGGAGGUGGAGGUUGUGGUGAGCCAAGACCGUGCCAUUACACUCCAGCCUGGGCAAUAAGAGCGAAACUCCAUCUCGAAAAAUAAAAUAAAAUGAAGAAACAAUGCGGGAGGAUGAACACAUGGAUGCUGCCUGCUACAACUUCAGCAGCAGAGUCUUGGACAUCCACCUUGCGCAAGACAUUCCUGAGUGGCACUGCUGUGUUUCUCACACAGCACCUUGGCCUCAGUAGACAACCAUGGGACAAGGAAGACUGGGGACUGCAUCAAGACCUGAGGUGAGACAGGAAUGGAGUGGACAGCAGCUACAGAAGGUGGGAGCCGUAUGAGUUCAGCUGUGGAUCAUCCAGGCAGAAGAACAGGAUGUCACGAUGCUCAAGAGUUAAGAAACUGGAGUGUCCCCAGAGAUGACAAGCAAUCUAUGAAGAGACCUAUUCAACAAAGUGGGUAGGGAUGCAGAGAACAACAGAGAAAUGAACAGAAAAUAACAGAGCCCCAUCACUGUGCCCAGUUUUCAGGACAGGCUGCGGUCCCUGGGGUGAGAGCAAAGUGACGGAGAAAAAGGCACGGCCGUCUCCAGAACUGAGACCUGGCCUUGGCCCCAGCAAUAGGGCAGAAGCCCAGAAAUCACAGCUGGAUGCAUGGUCGGGUUGGACCAGUGGCAAGGGGGCAGAGUCCUAGCACAUUGUCUGGAAGGAGGCAUUUCCCACUCUUCCGUGGACCACCAUGCUCGCUGGGGAGGGUGAGGGGUAGCUUGGGUGCGCUGGGCUAAGCAAAGCUCACCAGAUACUUUACUGAUGUUUUUGCCAAGGCAUUUGUAUACUCAGAUGAAUUUUGAUAUCUCCAAAAAGGGGCCAUAAGUCAUUUCCCAAACAUAUUUGAUCACAGUGUUACUGGCGGCGAAUCCUUAUGUGUCUGCAGCAACCUCAAUUCUUGCCUCCUCAGAAGGAAGAAUUCUACUAAGGGCCAUAAGGCCAAAGGAGAGAUUGAGGCAAGUUUUAGAGCAGGACUAGAAGUUUAUUUAAAAGCUUUAGAGCAGGAAUAAAAGGAAGUAAACUACAUUUGGAAGAGGGCCAAGCAGGCGACCUGAAAGGCAAGUGCACUCUUUGACCUUUGACUUGGGGUUUUAUACGUUGGCAUGCUUCUGGGGUCUUGGCGUCUGUCCCUUUUCCCCGGAUUCUUCCCUUGGGGUAGGCUGUCCGCAUGCACGGUGGCCGUCCAGCACUUGGGAGGGGCCCCAUGCACAGUGUGUUUACUGAAGUUGUACGCACGCUCCCUUGAGCUAUUCUUCCUUUACCACGUGAGUGUUCCUAUAAGGUCAUAUACCAAUUAAACUCUGCCAUUUCGCCUCUUAGUGCGCAUGCUUGAGCCUACUCACCCAACGCCUGAGAUCUUAUCUGGAAGCUGCUGAUCACCAGUUUCAGGUUUUUUCUAUCUACUGAGAGACUGCCUUUCCCUGGCACUGGCUGUGACCAAUUAUUAUUUUAGAAAGGCAGUUUAACAACCACCUGACCAUCACUAGAUGGUUGAUGGUUGCCUGACAUUCCUGGUGGGAAGUCGGGGGGGCCUCCCCUGCCCUGUUCAUGUCUGACUAGCUACCUACUGUAACAACAGCAUUCCUUUUUUGUUCUUUAACAGAUCGUCUAUGGUUAUCUUCCAGGAUAUCAAAAUAAUAUUUAAAAAGCAAUGAGGUUGUAAGCUUUGGGUCUGUUAAUAAAAUAGAUAAAUAGAUAAUAAGGUAGUGUUUUUUAAAUACACUCUUCACACUCAACAUUGAAAAUAUGUCCUUAAAAUGGAGCAAUGCCGGGCCAGCAGGUGGGGAUCCAGGAGUCCUAGCCACGCAGAGGGGACUGCAGGGCUGGAGACCAGGCAGGGCCAGACAGACACAAGGAGAAUAAUACAUAGAAAUGUGGUUCCU
rnacentral:lncRNA from 10 species